rnacentral:lncRNA from 1 species
AAGACGUCGGAAAAAUUACCCAAAACGUCGAUCCUAUGAAGAUGUGACCAGCUGAUAUCAUUUGAACCUUCGACUCGAUUCACUUAGAGUUUACUAACAACUAACAGUACAUAAGCUUUCAAAACAAAAUUUUCAAUACGAACUGAACUGAGUUGACAGAAGACGACGGAGAAUCGUUCGAGCAUCCCCGCUCUAAUACCAUGAAAACAUUGAAGAUUAAAGAUGAAGAAAAGGAUGGAGAUUUUUCAUUUCUCAGUUGAAGAACUCUGUAGAGAUAAAAUGAG